GGUGGAGGCGGAGCUGAUCGAUAAACUGGACAGUUUGGUGUCUGAGGGGAAAGGAGACGAGAACUACAGAGAGCUCUUCGGUCUACUAACGCAGCUGUUUGGGCCGUACCCCAGCCUGCUGGAGAAGAUCGAGCAGGAGACGUGGAGAGAGACAGGGAUCUCCUUCGUCACCUCCGUCACACGACUGAUGGAGAGACUGCUGGA